GCACCGUGGUGUGCGGUACACGCGCCAUCCCUGUGCAGCUUGGGAAGGCAUAAUAUGGCGAGAAGGGGUUCGACUCCCCGGCGGUGCA